CUCCGCAGGGAUUUAAAGUCAGCAGAUCGGACAACUUAAAAAUCACACGUUCAAACUGUUUUUGUUCAGUCUUGAGACAACAGUUUGAGCUGAGGGUGAGAGCUUCACUUGGCUCCGGUUUGCUGCAGAUGUUUUAACAGCUGGGUGAAACAUGGAGGAAUGUGUUUAAAUCGACUCAGAAACAGUUCAACACGGCUAAGAACAACAUGGAGAGUGACAGGUUUCCACAGUCGUUUUCUUCAGGAAUGAGAUGACAGCUUCUGUGGGCCCACCUGCGCAGCUCCUCCUGGAGUCUCUCUGCCAGUUCAGCCCUGCACUGGGUUUCAGCAUGCAGCUCCGCCUGGAGGCUCUUUGCUACCUCAGCUCUGUACUGUGCCUCAG